UACGGGGGGGGCAAGCGUUGUUCGGAAUUACUGGGCGUAAAGGGCGUGUAGGUGGCCAACUAAGUCAGACGUGAAAUCCCUCGGCUUAACCGGGGAACUGCUUCUGAUACUGGAUGGCUGGAGUGUGGGAGAGGGAUGCGGAAUUCCAGGUGUAGCGGUGAAAUGCGUAGAUAUCUGGAGGAACACCGGUGGCGAAGGCGGCAUCCUGGACCAUUACUGACACUGAAACGCGAAAGCCAGGGGAGCAAACGGG
rnacentral:rRNA from 1 species